rnacentral:rRNA from 1 species
UACGUAGGGACGAGCGUUGUCCGGAAUUACUGGGCGUAAAGGGCGCGCAGGCUGUGCUGCAAGUCAGCUGUGAAAUGUCUGGGUUUAACCCGGGCAUGCGGUUGAGACUGCAGUGCUGGAGUGCUGUAGAGGCAAGUGGAAUUCCCAGUGUAGCGGUGAAAUGCGUAGAUAUUGGGAAGAACACCGGUGGCGAAGGCGACUUGCUGGGCAGCAACUGACGCUGAGGCGCGAAAGCCAGGGGAGGCAAACGGGA